GCCCUUUCAGAGUUGCUGUCAUCCAAUAAUAAAUGCCCUAUUUAUGUGUGAAACAAAUUAGGUUCUAUUUUUCAAAAGUAACAUAGCACAACAGCUGCCAUUCAGCUUCAGGAAUGUUCAGGAAAUCCUUCUAAACUGAAAACCUUAAGAGGCUGUCUAGCUGAGUGUAACUGAAUUCCCUAUCAUAAUAAUACAUUCUCAAGUAUUAAAUGUGUACAGCAAGUCAAAUGCCCAUUCAAGAAAACUAUGUCCUUGACACACACUUUUAGAUUGAGCUCCCGAAGUUGAAGUGUUAAAUAUAGGGUGGUGAUAUGACCAUUAUUACACAGCUUCAAGACUUAUUUAGUGUUGGAAACUACCACCAGAGUCAAGUAUAACCUAUUUGUUUGCCAUUUAACAAAGGAAAUUGAGACUCAGAGAAUCAAAGUGAUUGCAGAAGCUUAGGCCUGCUUUUUCACCCCUACACCAUGAAGACAAAACUUUCUAUAAAUGACAUAGUUGUUUUUUGUUUUUGUUUGUUUUUGUUUUUGUUUUGAGGCUGAGUCUCACUCUGUUGCGCAGGCUGGAGUCCAGUGGCACGAUCUUGGCUCACUGCAACCUCUGCCUCCCUGGUUCAAGCGAUUCUCUUUCCCCAGCCUCCCGAGUAGCUGGCACCUGCCACCACCCCUGGCUAAUUUUUGUGCAUUUUUAGUAAAGAUGGGGUUUAAUCAUCUUGGCCAGUCUGAUCUUGAACUCCUGACCUCAAGUGAUCCACCUGCCUCAGCCUCCCAAAGUGCUGGGAUUACAGACGUGAGCCACCACCCCCAGCCUAUAAAUGACAUAGUUUUAUCAGUUAUUUAAUUUGGAUUCCUUAUGAAUAACUUCAAAAGAAAAGGUAUAGACACUGUGGACAUCACCUGGGAGCUUGUGAAAAAUACAGAAUGUCUAACCUCCCUCUAGACCUAGAGAAUCUGAGUGCAUUUUAAAGAGGUCCCCAGGUGAUCAUAUUUGCAUUAAAAUUUGACAAGUGCCUUUCUAGUGAGUCAUUCCCUUGGAAACAGUGGUCUGCUCAGGUCAGCAGGAUUGUGAUGCCUGGAGAACUGGGGAGGGGAUCCCCUUGUAGAACAGAAAGAAGAGAUACAGUCAUGGAAACAUUCCGAAUUUUGAAUAUUAUGAAACAACAGGAACAAAGUAUGUUGUGCAAGGAGUGACGCAUUUUAAGGAAUGGCAUUGCCUUUCCCAGAAAGUGAAGAGAGGAAAUUGGAAAUUAGUGAGUGGACCUUCUGAUACUGCUCCUCCUUGAGUGGAAAAGGGGAAAGAAUUGCAUGCAUAUUAUUCAGCGUCCUGUAUUCAAAGGAUAUUCUUGGUGAUCUUGGAAGUGUCCAUAUCAUGGAAUCAAUCUCUAUGAUGGGAAGCCCUAAGAGCCUUAGUGAAACUUUUUUACCUAAUGGCAUAAAUGGUAUCAAAGAUGCAAGGAAGGUCACUGUAGGUGUGAUUGGAAGUGGAGAUUUUGCCAAAUCCUUGACCAUUCGACUUAUCAGAUGUGGCUAUCAUGUGGUCAUAGGAAGUAGAAAUCCUAAGUUUGCUUCUGAAUUUUUUCCUCAUGUGGUAGAUGUCACUCAUCAUGAAGAUGCUCUCACAAAAACAAAUAUAAUAUUUGUUGCUAUACACAGAGAACAUUAUACCUCCCUGUGGGACCUGAGACAUCUGCUUGUGGGUAAAAUCCUGAUUGAUGUGAGCAAUAACAUGAGGAUAAACCAGUACCCAGAAUCCAAUGCUGAAUAUUUGGCUUCAUUAUUCCCAGAUUCUUUGAUUGUCAAAGGAUUUAAUGUUAUCUCAGCUUGGGCACUUCAGUUAGGACCUAAGGAUGCCAGCCGGCAGGUUUAUAUAUGCAGCAACAAUAUUCAAGCCCGACAACAGGUUAUCGAACUUGCCCGCCAGUUG
rnacentral:sRNA from 1 species